rnacentral:lncRNA from 1 species
AUGGAGGGAUGGUUUCAUCAGCGCCAGAGUCGUGGGCUCCUCUGGGUGCCUCAGUUCCCUCCCCUCACCCUCCCCUGGUCCUCUUGUGGCUUGAGCCACAAACCAGGGCCUCAGGGUCCCGGAGCUGCAGAGAAGGCCUUGGGGCACGGGUCCCGGCUGGCAGAAGAUGAGGGGGCCCUGGGCUGGAGGGCAUCUGUUCUCUGGAGCCCCCCCCCCACCAUGCACCUCACACCCGCUUGGACUGCUCCUCCCAAACACCUAUGUGGGGUGGGGGGCUCCCACACUCCUCCAGGCAGAGCGAGUUUGCUUCCUCUGGCCUGCACACCCUGGACCUGCUGUAACUGCUGUCACAGUCACACCACCUCCUGUCGCACGGCAGUCAGUUACCUGUCCCUUUCACCUGUGCUGUGUGCCAAGCACCAUGGCAGAUGCUGGUACACCAGGAUGAAGAAGAUACAGUUCUGGGCACCUGGGAGGGGCUUGUCCUGGGGCCUGGGCCUCAUUUCUUAUACAUUCAUUCACUCAUUCUUUCGAUGUCUCCUAUGCACCCAGUAUAUGCUGGGUGCCGUGCAGGGCAGGGCUAUGAUUAGACACAGAGCUGGCAGCCCUACGGGAGAGAGGCAGCGACAGGAAGUUCCAGCUCCAUGUGUCAGCGGGGUGCACGGGGCUGGGGCAGCACAGACCAGGGGCACCUGCCUGGCCUUGGCAGGGCUUUCUGGAGGAAUGGGUGUCUACACCAGGCCCCAGAGAGUCAGGAGGGUCGGAGAGGGGGCACAGCAUUGUAAGGUCCGGGCAGCGUGGGACAGCCCGGUGUGUUCCCAGGGUCCAAGCUCUUGGUGGGGGGCGGGAGGUCCCCCUGCAUCCCCUCACCUGCCCAGCCAGCAGCUGGGUCUGUGCACCAGCCCCUUCUUCACCUGCCACUGGAGAGAGGGACAUCGAGUUCAGACAUGGACACCAGAACUUUCCAGCCACCAUCAAGUUCCCAUGGGGCCCCACCUCCAGGGCCUCAACACCUCCUUGGAGAAGCAGGACAGGACAGACUGA